GGAGUAGAAAUUUUGGGCUAGAAUAAAAUUGAAUUGAGCUGAACAAUGAUGUGUUGUUGAGUCUGUUAUUGAGCCAUUUCUUGGUGGGUUGAAGACUAAUAAUAUUGGAGUGUUUCACCUGCACCUCCAAAUCUCUCAUUCUGCACCUCCAAAUAUUUUCAGAAUGCCAACAUUACCCAUACUUAAAAUGCUAUUGAUAUUUAAAACAAUUAGGCUUAAUACCUCCCUUAGUCCUCGU
rnacentral:lncRNA from 1 species